UCGGUGCUGGCGGGGGGAGGGGCAGAGGGUCUGCAGUGAUGACCCAUGGCUCAGUGUCACCUCAGAGCAGCUGCUUGUGGCCGAGCUCAGGGGCCUCCCCUCCUCAUUCCUGUCGGUGGCAUGGGCGGGAGGGGAGGCAGCCGCACGGCAGGUCUCUCACCUGGGUGGGUGGCCUCCUGGCUGGGUGUGGAUACAGCCUAGGAAAGACCCAAAGUGGGUUGGUUAUCGCAAGUGGUCUUGGCAACGUGGCCCUGGGGCUGCAACGGCAGAAGCUCUGUGACGCUGCUCCCUCCUCCGGGAAGCCCUCUUGAACCAUGUCUGCCCGCCUGAGUUGCUUCCUCCUUUAGACUCUGCUGUGGACCACACGGUCUGCCCUUCCUGUGUUCAAGCUUCUGUGAAUAGAGAAGUCUCGUGUCUCUGCAGAUCUCGGCUCCCGGAGAGCUCCCCAUGAGCGCUGGCUGUGUCGGCCGAGGGGCGAGCGGGUGCCAGGCGUGUGGGCCCGUAGAGGGUCCUGGGCUACAGGCUUAGGUGCGACCCCCAGCUACACCACCCACAACCUGCGUGGACAUGACCACGUGGCCCGCCGCUCUGAGCCUCAGUUUCCCCUCCUGUGACAUGGGAUCGUAGUGGCACUGGCCUCCCUGGGUUCCCGGAAGGCUUUCACGGUGACGGAUCUCCAGGCGCCUGCAGGCCAUCCGGGUCCGAGCCGCCUCCAGAAGGCCCUCUGCCCCCGCCCUGCCCGUGACCCAUAGCCCACUGACACUGGAGCUCACAGCAGGAAGGUGGCCAUCCACAAGCCAGGAGGAGAGCUCUCACCAGAAAAUGAAUCAGUUGGGGCCUCGAUCUUGGAUUUCCAGCGUCCAGAACCGUGAGAAUAAAUUGGCUGUUGAAGCCGCCCA